rnacentral:rRNA from 1 species
UACGGGGGGGGCAAGCGUUGUUCGGAAUUACUGGGCGUAAAGGGCUCGUAGGCGGCCAACUAAGUCAGACGUGAAAUCCCUCGGCUUAACCGGGGAACUGCCUCUGAUACUGGAUGGCUUGAGAUUGGGAGAGGGAUGCGGAAUUCCAGGUGUAGCGGUGAAAUGCGUAGAUAUCUGGAGGAACACCGGGUGGCGAAGGCGGCAUCCUGGACCGACACUGACGCUGAGGAGCGAAAGCCAGGGGAGCAAACGGGG